rnacentral:rRNA from 1 species
UACGAAGGGGGCUAGCGUUGCUCGGAAUCACUGGGCGUAAAGGGUGCGUAGGCGGACUAUGAAGGCGGGGGUGAAAGCCCAGGGCUCAACCCUGGAAUUGCCUUCGAUACUGAGAGUCUUGAGUUCGAGAGAGGUGGGUGGAGUUCCUAGUGUAGAGGUGAAAUUCGUAGAUAUUAGGAAGAACACCGGUGGCGAAGGCGGCCCACUGGCUCGACACUGACGCUGAGGUGCGAAAGCGUGGGGAGCAAACAGG